rnacentral:rRNA from 1 species
UACGGAGGAGGCAAGCGUUAUCCGGAAUUAUUGGGCGUAAAGCGUCCGUAGGUGGUUGGCCAAGUCUGCUGUCAAAGGGUGGGGCUUAACCUCAUAAAGGCAGUGGAAACUGGCGAGCUAGAGUGCGGUAGGGGUAGGGGGAAUUCCCAGUGUAGCGGUGAAAUGCGUAGAGAUUGGGAAGAACAUCGGUGGCGAAAGCGCCCUGCUGGGCCUGCACUGACACUGAGUUACGAAAGCUAGGGGAGCUAAAGGG